GGCUGGUCUGAAGGUAGUGAGUUACCUCGCUUGAUUGUUCACAGUCAGUUACAGAUUGAACUCCUUGUUCUACUACUUUCCCCCCUCCUCACUACUGCACUUGACUAGUCUUAA
ensembl:misc_RNA Y_RNA Y RNA